CCUACGGGGGGCUGCAGUGGGGAAUAUUGGACAAUGGGCGAAAGCCUGAUCCAGCCAUGCCGCGUGUGUGAAGAAGGCCUUCGGGUUGUAAAGCACUUUCAGUGGGGAAGAAAGCCUUGGGGCUAAUACCCUCGAGGAAGGACAUCACCCACAGAAGAAGCACCGGCUAACUCCGUGCCAGCAGCCGCGGUAAUACGGAGGGUGCGAGCGUUAAUCGGAAUUACUGGGCGUAAAGCGCGCGUAGGCGGUCUGAUAAGCCGGUUGUGAAAGCCCCGGGCUCAACCUGGGAACGGCAUCCGGAACUGUCAGGCUAGAGUACAGGAGAGGAAGGUAGAAUUCCCGGUGUAGCGGUGAAAUGCGUAGAGAUCGGGAGGAAUACCAGUGGCGAAGGCGGCCUUCUGGACUGACACUGACGCUGAGGUGCGAAAGCGUGGGUAGCAAACAGGAUUAGAUACCCUGGUAGUC
rnacentral:rRNA from 1 species